rnacentral:rRNA from 1 species
UACAUAGGGGGCAAGCGUUGUCCGGAUUCAUUGGGCGUAAAGAGCGUGUAGGCGGCCAGGUAGGUCGGUUGUGAAAACUGGAGGCUCAACCUUCAGAGGUCGACCGAAACCAUCUGGCUAGAGUCCGGGAGAGGAGAGUGGAAUUCCUGGUGUAGCGGUGAAAUGCGCAGAUAUCAGGAAGAACACCCGUGGCGAAAGCGGCUCUCUGGAACGGUACUGACGCUGAGACGCGAAAGCGUGGGGAGCGAACAGG